AUUUUAGAUAAAAGAGGAGUGGAACACUUCCUCCUAGUAGUUCUAGCCCAUGAGGCCAACAGGACUUCAAAGUUAACUUUUCCCAAAGAGGCAGCCUCCUGUGGGCCUUAAGAAUGUGGAUUUAGGAGCAGACUGUCAGCUUUAAAGAAAACUCUAAGAAGAAGGCAUGGGAGAAGAGGAAGAGGAACUGGGUCCAUGAAAUGAGUUGACAUGAGAAGACUGCAGCAGUAGAGAGAUGGCAGAAACUAGACAUGGUCCUCUUGCAUCUUCCGAAGCACAGAAUGCCAAAAAGAAUGGUCUGUCUGCCAGCAAAACUGACAGAGAUUGCAAGUGGCUAUGGGGCAGAUUUCCAUGGAGGGAAGGCUCUGAACAUAGCUGGCAAGUGAAACUGAUGCUGAUAGCCCUGGGGGAGCUACAACUGGAUCUUGAAAGGAUUAGACACUGACUCUGGAGUCAGCUUUGCUUACCCCGUGAUAGGUGCAAAUGCUCAGAAUGCUUUAAAGAACCCAAACAGAGGAUGUUACACCAGUAUGGACUGACAAACCAUAUUUAUUCAGACCAAGGAACAGACUUUACAGCCUGUAAUGUCUAACAAUGGGCAGAGACACCCUCCUCAGAAUAAUAGUGUGCUAGAGAAGUGUAACGGGCAAAUGAAACAUUGGUUGUUUAAAGCAAGGGGAGAUAAAGCCACAAAGGGCUGGCGUACAUGCCUUUACAGUGUGUGGGUCACACUCAAUAUGAGUGGGACUAAAGGAGUGUCCCCGCUAGAUAGAUUCUUUCUUUUUCUGGUGCGUGUGGGGAAGAG
rnacentral:lncRNA from 1 species